UACGAAGGGGGCGAGCGUUGUUCGGAUUUACUGGGCGUAAAGCGUGCGCAGGCGGUGAUGUAAGACAGAUGGGAAAUCCCCGGGCUCAACCUGGGAACUGCAUUUGUGACUGCAUCGCUGGAGUGCGGCAGAGGGGGAUGGAAUUCCGCGUGUAGCAGUGAAAUGCGUAGAUAUGCGGAGGAACACCGAUGGCGAAGGCAAUCCCCUGGGCCUGCACUGACGCUCAUGCACGAAAGCGUGGGGAGCAAACAGG
rnacentral:rRNA from 1 species